GGCAACGUGGCGGAGUGGUUAACGCGCGGGCCUGCUAAGAUAUGUAUCACAAUUCUUCACAACGAAUCUGCGCUGACUCUCCUUCACCCCGUUCCUUCGGGAGCGAGUGUUCGAAUCACUCCGUUGUCG
rnacentral:tRNA from 1 species